AUUGAACGCUGGCGGCAUGCCUUACACAUGCAAGUCGAACGGUAACGGGUCCUUCGGGAUGCCGACGAGUGGCGAACGGGUGAGUAAUAUAUCGGAACGAGCCCAGUAGUGGGGGAUAACUGCUCGAAAGAGCAGCUAAUACCGCAUACGACCUGAGGGUGAAAGGGGGGGAUCGCAAGACCUCUCGCUAUUGGAGCGGCCGAUAUCAGAUUAGCUAGUUGGUGGGGUAAAGGCCUACCAAGGCAACGAUCUGUAGUUGGUCUGAGAGGACGACCAGCCACACUGGGACUGAGACACGGCCCAGACUCCUACGGGAGGCAGCAGUGGGGAAUUUUGGACAAUGGGCGCAAGCCUGAUCCAGCAAUGCCGCGUGCAGGAAGAAGGCCUUCGGGUUGUAAACUGCUUUUGUCAGGGAAGAAAUCUUCUGGGCUAAUACCUCGGGAGGAUGACGGUACCUGAAGAAUAAGCACCGGCUAACUACGUGCCAGCAGCCGCGGUAA
rnacentral:rRNA from 1 species